UGUGUGCGCGCGAGAAGAAAUACUGUCCGUGGCACGAGACAGACGUGAAGCGGCGGAGGACGAACAGCAAGUCUUAUCGGAUAUUCUGGUUUUAAUCCGGUAUUUUACUGGCUUCAUUUCCACCCGUUCAGAGCUUUAACCGUGAAAGGAAGCAGGUCUCUUUUAAAGGAUUUUCACUGUGGGGAUUUUUGGGGGGUAGAUUAGCGUUUAGAGUCUGUAACGUCUCCUCUUCUUUUCCACGCCACAUAUUUUAAGAGCUCUCUGUAUGAAUAGUUUUCUCGCUCCUCUGUCUCCACGGACUUCGGUUUUUUGCUGCUGGAGGAGCAUUUUUACCGAUUCGAGAUGACGGAAAUCAGCGAAAAAGAAAGCGAGCCUCAGAACCGGGACCUAAACCGGCAGGGCACCACCGUCUCCGGUCAACCGGAAUCAAAGCUGCAGCGGCUGAAGCGCUCCCUGUCCCUCAAAUCAGUCAUACGCAGCAAGAGCGUGGAUAACUUCUUCCAACGGAGCAACGGCGAAUCUCGGCUGGCCUCGGCCAUCAUCACAGCGCCGCCACCUCCGUCAUCUCCUCCUCCCUUCUCUGAAUCCCCUCUGGGCUAUGAGCGCUCUCCCUCUCUAUCCCCAUCAGUCAGCCCCAACCCUUCCUUGUCUUCACAUUCCCCUUCCAUCAGCCCUUCGCUGUCCCGGACCUUAAAGAGCCAGCUGAAGUCUCAGCCCAUGCAACCGGUCAAAACUCACUGUUUCCAGGAGCAUGUCUUCCGUAGGCCUACCAGCUGCCAGCGAUGCAAACAUAUGAUCCAAGGAAAUUCCAAGCAAGGGCUGCGUUGUAAAGCCUGCAAGCUGGCGGCUCAUCUUUGGUGUUCCUCUGAACUAUCUCAGCAGGCCUGUAACGGCAAGUCUGGAGCCUUUAAGAGAAACUUCAGCUCUCCUCUGCUAACCAUUGAUCCACUGAGUAUAGUCAAGGAGGCUCCGGCUGCCCAGGAGACAGAGAAUGUCAUCGUUGACCCUGUGUAUGAAGCACUGCGUUAUGGGACGUCAUUGGCUCAGAUGAGUCGCUCCAGCUUUGGAAGUAUCUCCGAAUCCCCUUGUCAUGAGUCUGAUACACUGCAAGGCAAACUAGAAAACCAACCAAUCGCUGAAGAGGAAAUUAUUCCAGGAAUGCUCACCCCUCCUGAAAGCGAGAAGGCUGAUUCAGAGGACAGGGUCAGCCUGAAGACUCCGAAGCGAGUCGAAGUUCACUCCAUUCACACGUACAUCGCCCUCUACAAGUUUCUGCCUCAGGAGAAGAAUGACCUGGAACUACAGUUAGCCUGGCGACCGAAUUCAAGUCACAGACGACUCCAACGAAGACUGGUGGAAGGGGAAAAGCAGAGACAAGGUGGGAUUUUUCCCAGCCAACUUUGUCCAGCGGGUCCGACCGGGUGAGCGGGUGUGGAAGGUCACCGCUGCUUUCCAUGGCAAUCGAGACAAAGGCCAGAUGACUGUGAAAGAGAAUCAGAUCUGCAUCGGGAAAAACGAGGAGAUUGACGGCUUCCUUCGGCUGACUAGCGGGAAGAAGAGAGGCCUUGUCCCUGUGAUGUUUCUGCUGGAAAUAUGAUGGCCGUAUUUCAGAUUUCUCCUUGAUUUAGCAGAGGAGCUCCCAGGGAUGGAGGAAUACUCAGGAGUGUUUAGCCAUCACCUCACUGACAACCAUCCACCCUCCUCCACCCCUCCAAGCAUCACUGCUGCAUCUCGAGUGGAAAACAGCCUGCAGCUUUGGCUUUUUGGCUGAAGAUUAAGACAACCAGGAGCUUCUUCAGAGCUACUUUGUUUGUAGCACAGCUUCACUUUGUGAAGCUUCUUAUAUUUUCACCAGAGGUAUGUAGCAAUUAUUUUCAAGAGAAUGAGUGUGAAGGUACUCUGGCUACCUCAUUAGCCUCUACACUGGCCACUCACUCACAAAAAAAGGGUAAAGGACGUUUUUGUCAUGAUGUCAAGGCAUGUUGAAGUUAUUUGUGAAAAGAAAACUUUGGAUAAUACACUGGAUGUGUAUUGCAGUUGCUUGUGCAAACCUGUUUUUGGUUGAGUAGAGUGAAGAUUAAUAAUUUUGGUCACAAUGUCCAAGUUUAAUGGUACAUAACUCAGAUUCUCAAACAUAAAAUGAUCCAGGUAUUACUGUGUACUAAUGUCUUUUCUGCUCUAUCUUGGUCCAAUCAAAGUCACAACACACCCUUUCUCUCACACGCACUCAAGGGUUUUCCCUGCAUCCCAAAACGCUUUUCGGUGAUUACAGAAUGGCACAUUUGCACUCUUCACAGUUUCAAUGUGACAAAUACUUGCAUGCACCUUGGGGAGCUCUUAGUUUGCCCUUCAAAGGUUCUCCCAUCCACAUAUUCCAGAGGGUUUGUAUUUUCACUUUCUACUAUGUAGCUCAAUGGACUAUUAGGAUUUGCGUCCUGUUGCUGCAUCAUAAACAUAAUUUAUCUUAGGCUACGUUCACACUGCAGCCCAAAGUGACUCAAAUCCGGAUUUUUAUUGCCGUGGCUGUUCACACUUCCAAAUAUGUGCGACCUGUAUGUGAUCUCCAGCGUGAACUAUAAACAACCUGAAAGUGUCCCGCAUGCGCAGUAGAGGGCGCAAUAACGUCACACAUAGAGAGCGUGCUCAGUGGUUGUGGAAGUAAACAUGGAUGCUAACGGUGGAGCAUAUCUUACGGUUUUGAAGUUGUUGUCCGACUGGAGCCAGGAUAUUAACAACUUAAUCCUUAUUGUCGUCCACCAUUGUUGUUUUUCUUCCCGCUUACUCGCAUGGGGACACAGAAUAGUGAGGUUUGUCGAGUAUCAGUGACGUUCAAAUCGGAUGAAUUCGACCUGGACGUUCGGUCACAUCUGAAUCAGAUACGUGUCGGAUGUCCAAGUGGCCUUGGUCGUAUUCGAAAAGAAUCCGACUUGUGUUGUUCAGACUGUCAUGAAAAGAUCAGCUACAGGUCGCAUUACGGCAAAAACAUCGGAAAUGGGUCACUUCAGGCUGCAGUGUGAACGCAGCCUAUGUGUAACGUCCUGUAUUAUUGUCAUGUCAUGCAAUAGGAAAGAGAAAACAAACCAGAACGACUGAUUAAAAGCCAUAUUCAGGUUUCUUGAUGGAGAAAAAUUACUAAAUGCCGACAGUCUUUUCCACAGAGAACUAAUUUUCAAAUCUCCUUAUUUAUUUAAUUUAUUGAUCUGUCAUAAAUUAUAAGGCUUGGCUAAACUAAGGGUGUUUGUAUAUAGCCUUCUUAAAACAAUGUAUAUAUAUAUAUUAGCUCCUGAAAGCAUGCUAACACAAAGUUUUGCAGCUUUGCAGGAGCCGACUGAGGGCAUUAAUUUCUCUAUUCUUACCUGCAGGAGAUUCCUGUUUGUCUCAUGUAUCUGCAGCAUGUAAUGCAUCUCUUUGCUCAAUUACCAUCUCGCCGUGUCAGCACAAAUAUUUCAAGAUACUAUGCACAACAGUUCUAGUCACUCACUUUGUUUUGUUCACAGCUUAUUUCCAAAGCAGCUCAACGUGUCUUUGUCACUCAGUAGUUUUGCGAAGAUUUAAAAUUGGACUUUGAAAUCAGCUGUCUUGUGUGUACACUGUUCUAUUUCAAUAAUCCUCACUGACUAGAACUAGGAUUGGCUCAGGAUAACGAUUACCAGUUUAACCUAACUGCACGCCUACCAGGCUUAGCUCUCAGCAUGAUUGGUCAUCAUGUGAUCCUCAAAUAAUGCUAAUAAAGUUGAAUGAACAUUCAA